AGGGAAUUAGUCCAACGUAAGACCUCUGAUUUCGGCUCAGAAAACCGUGGUUCAACUCCACGAUUCCCUU
rnacentral:tRNA from 1 species